CCCCUCCCUCCCCUCCCCUCCUCCCUUUCCUUUCCAUUCCAGUUUGUUUUGUUUGGAGUUGUUAUUGAAAUGCACUGCAAUGCACUUCAAGAACUGCAAAAUCUCGUGACCAAAGUGUCGUUCUGGUACCGUUUACAUCAUUAUUAUCAAACCCGUGAAGCGUAAGCGUUAUUCGUUUCCCCCCUGCGUGUCGCUGUUGCGCUCAAUGUUUCUCGAGGUUUGAUCGCUCUUCUGGUUGAUUGGGUCUUCAGAUCGUCAGACAUGCAACAUCAGUAGAACGCAGACCAAUACGGAAAGCUUGUGAGCUACUCACAGGACCAAGAUAGACAAGACCUGACCUUCACGCAGAGCAGUGACUCAUACAUUGACUUACCAUCCUAAGAUUUGUCAUUUGGAUAAGAAGCUGUAGAGAUGAAGAUUUUCUUUCAAGUGGAGAAGUUGCUCUUGAUGACGGGAGUUAUCAACUAAUUCCGUGGUGCAAGCCAACCGGAUUGGACGAAGCUUGACUCUCUCUCAUGUUUAGUUGUUUAAUAUGAAUUUAUCUAUUCAGUUGGUUCUCAAAUUUAUUUGGUUCUGAUUGAUCCUAUCAUUUUACUAGUCUGUCCUUUUGUGUGUGUGUGUGAUGGUGUAACUUGAUCAUGUUUUUUUCUUGUAAUUCAUCUGAUAGACUAGUUGUAUCCUCACCACAAGAAGGUGUGUUUGUGUCACUUAAUAUUUGAACUCCAAAUUUCCAUUAUUCUGUUGCCAAAUGUUUCAUGCUUUCUUGCUGUACAAGUCAAACCCAAUCAGUCAGAUAUUGCUGGCAUGACAUUAACUUUUUGUCACCCUAAAUUGCCUAAAAAAGGUCUUACCAUUUUCUGUUUAUACAGAUGGACAAGCAAUGUCUGCUUCUAAUUUUAAUUUCUAUGUCUUCUGCCCACACGAUACAGCAGAGAAAAAAAUUAUUAGAGAGGUUGUAAGAUAGAUUUGAUAUCUUAUAAAGAUACUGCUUUGCCCAUCUAGUUAAGUUUUAAGAAUCAACAAUUUUUUUGUUGAGCCUGUAGUGUGUACUGAAAGAGGAUAUUUCUGUCUAGAGCUAUUCUUAAAGCCGUAUCUAUUGUAAGUUCCCUAAACUAUCAAGGGUUGCUGAUUGAUUCUGGAGGAAGUGAUGGGUUUUAAUAAUAGAUAGAAAAUAAAUAUUGAUCACAUUUUAUCA